AUUGAACGCUGGCGGCAUGCCUUACACAUGCAAGUCGAACGGUAACGGGCCUUCGGGUGCCGACGAGUGGCGCACGGGUGAGUAAUACAUCGGAACGUGCCCGAUCGUGGGGGAUAACGAGGCGAAAGCUUUGCUAAUACCGCAUACGAUCUACGGAUGAAAGCAGGGGACCGCAAGGCCUUGCGCGGACGGAGCGGCCGAUGGCAGAUUAGGUAGUUGGUGGGAUAAAAGCUUACCAAGCCGACGAUCUGUAGCUGGUCUGAGAGGAUGAUCAGCCACACUGGGACUGAGACACGGCCCAGACUCCUACGGGAGGCAGCAGUGGGGAAUUUUGGACAAUGGGCGCAAGCCUGAUCCAGCCAUGCCGCGUGCAGGAUGAAGGCCUUCGGGUUGUAAACUGCUUUUGUGCGGAACGAAAAGCCUUCUUUUAAUACAGGAGGGUCAUGACGGUACCGUAAGAAUAAGCACCGGCUAACUACGUG
rnacentral:rRNA from 1 species